CCGGGGGUAGCUUAAAAUUAAAGCUCAGGAUUCUUACUUCUGUGAUGUCUUAUUUAGAGACUUCCCGGG
rnacentral:tRNA from 1 species